UGUCAGUAUUUAUGUGCCCAUAUGUGUAUAAUAUGUGUAUGUUUUUCUCUGAGUGUCUCACAGGAAAGGUAGAGAAAUUGAGAGGAAGCAUCGAGACACUUUUAUGCCAAUUUGAUAGAGUAAUUUUAUGCUAAUUGAAUCUAAUGAUAAGAAAUUCGGCCUUGUGUUUUCUACACAUAUAUGUUCUAUUUUAUUUUUCUAGUAAUUCACUUUUUUUGUAUUUUGUGAAAGCGUGGGUCUGCGGCAGACUGCACACAAAACUCCUCCUUCCUCAUAGUUCGAGAAGCACGAAUUAGGACCAGAUCAACAUUCUGGGAAGGUCCUGAUUCUGAAAUUCCCAAGGGAGAGAGACUCACUUCAGAACGCUGAGGUUCCUGCUCUGGGUCGUAUCAAGGAAGCAUGAGGACAGACAAAGGGGUGGGGGUCAGGCCUCAGAUCUGACUGGCGUCUGGGGGCACAACCUGCUCUUCCUCCCCUUCCUCUCCCCUAAGUGAGAUGGGACCACCAGGCAGUUCUCAAGUGGGUGGGAGGCUGACCCUGCUGUGCCUCCAAGCCCACGCCUGUUCAAGGUGCUGCCCUCCUUCCCUCCUGCAGAACAGGAGAAGCUGAUGACUAACAGAGCUCAGCUUGAUCACAUGGGUGAACCCUUCCAGUCAAAUCUACCCUGGGCUAAUCCCUCCUGAACCUCACGUCCUUCAGCAUUACUUCCUGGUACCACUCAUUUGGGUUUUUAGAUGUGUGCUUCCUUGCUUUGUUAUUUGAUUCUUACAUGUGUGUCCAGUCUUCCCAACUGGAUGGAAAACUCGUGGGACAGGAAUCAGGUCGUCUUGUGCUUCUCUAGCCCAGAGGGGACACUCAGUGACUGUGCUGCCUCUCAGAAUCCUCGUUGUUUGUAACACAAGGAUGUGUAACAGUUGUAUAACUUCUAAAAUGCUCCUGGUACUAAGACUCUAUGAAACAAGAAGAAACAUCCAAGUGCUCACAGCCAGACUAGAACGUAAGAAGAAACUGCACAGUUAGACCCUGAGGUAGCUCAAAGGAGGAAACGCAGAGAAUCAGUGACGAUCCCCUAAAGACUAGUGUUUUCUGGAUCUUCGAGGAAGGGUGGGUGAGAGUGCCACAGAAGUCUGUCUGGGUGGUGGGCAUGAAGGACAGCAGCAGCAUGAAGAAAGUCCUUGACCUACAAGUGCCACCCUCAGGAUGGGUCAUCAGGCUUCCCCCUCUGAACGUCCUUCUGGUGGCGAGAGGCAGAGUCUCCAGGAAGAAGGGGGUUCUGGAGGAGUGAGGAGGUGCAGGAGGGGCCGGGGCCACUAGGAGUGGCUAAGGGGAACAUGGCAUAUGCAUUUUUUUAUCCUUUGCUUGGGUCCUGUGUGAGCCUGUCCAGAAGUGCUUCCUGGUCGCUCAGUGGAGAGCAAUGGGAGGAUCCAUGGUGACUACUGAACUGGAAGCGACAUGCUCUGAUAAGUUCUUCGAGACAGGGUGUGAGAGGAACUGCUGCUGCCGCCGUCCGGAGGCGCCAAGGUGGAGACAAGCUGGGAUGCAGAAGGCUUGAAAUAAAAUCUACCCAGAGGGAAGCCCGAUGAUGGUAGAACAUCAGCUGCUGGAGGCAAGUGGUUGCUGACAGUUGUGUCUCUGGGCUCCACAUAGCUUUUUAGCUAACUUUCUGCCCAACAGCUUGACACAUCCAUGGUGGACCACCUGGAGCCAGGACAGGUGACAGGAGGAGCACUUAUUCCUGGCAGUGAUCCCCGCCGCCCCGGCCUUUGAUCAGCUCCAGCCGUGCAAACUUGCUGCGGUGCUGAUUCAAAAAUGAGAUGAGAUUGUGCAUGUUGAGCUUCCCAGUGAUGUAUGUCCUGAGUAUGUAUAAUGAUAUCCUUGCGAGAGAGAGAAGAGACAAAGGAACAGAAUAGUGUAAACCAACUGAUCGUCCAGGGAACUGGACGAUUUUCUAGCUCAGGCUAGAAAAGCCCAAAGGUGAACAAGAAGGGUGAGGCUUCAGGGCAGCGUCCUGCUCUUGAGCAGCUCUGGAAGAACAAGCCUACCAUGCCCAGCUCUUCUGACUAUACUUCUUUGUCUCUUUACUAGGAUCCAGGACCUUGGUGAUGAGUCAACAACCACCAGGCUGGGGGUGGUUGGUCUCACAGAGGCAGGGGUUUUGUCAGAAGCUUCCAAUAGGGAAUCUCUCCAAGAGAGAUUCUCAUCCAAGAGGGGUCCUUGGCUCUGAAGACCCAUGGCCAUGACAUAUCUUGGAUCCUGGUUUCUGAACUCUGAGUCUCAGAGUUCUGUUACAAGAAAUUCAUUGCCAUAUUCCUUCUAAAAAGUAUCACUCUGUUCCCAGUGGCUGACCCUGUCCCCUGCCAGGUCCAUUUUCUCUUUACUGUGUAGCUCUUUGGGGUCUUCUCAAGGAGCCCAUUCCACCACAAUCUUGCCUCAGCAGUUGGACUGUCUCCCUUGCUCUUGAGUAUAGGAUCUGUCCUCAGGAAACAGAGCAUGUAAUCUUCAGCCCAACCAGAGCUGAAGCAGGGGGUUCUGCUCACAUGUGUUUUGUGGUCUUUGACUUAUUACAAGCCUGUGUGCAGCAUUUGGAUCUCCCAGGGGUGAUAAAAACAACAGUGAUAGAAAUGAUCAUAGCUAAUAUUUACUGAGGGGUUUAUGGGUUCUAGUCACUGUUCUAAAUGCCUUAUGUAUAUUUUUUCUCUGCCUCUCUUUUAUUUAUUUAUUUAUUUAUUUUUAGCACGUGAAGGACCUUCCUACUGCCCUAACCCCAUACUAUCUUAUCUUCCUUACCCAGUUCUUGAAGAGAAAUACUGGUCAGAGACUCAGACCCAUGAAGAGCAAGUUAAGGAAAACCCCGUUAAGGCUAGUGUACUCCUACCUUUGACUGAAUGCAGACAUAUGAGGGGUAUAC